rnacentral:rRNA from 1 species
UACGGAGGGGGCUAGCGUUAUUCGGAAUUAUUGGGCGUAAAGGGCGCGUAGGCGGCCCGGUAAGUCAAAGGUGAAAUCCCUCGGCUCAACUGAGGAACUGCCUUUGAAACUGUCGGGCUCGAGGCCGGGAGGGGGUAGCGGAAUUCCCAGUGUAGCGGUGAAAUGCGCAGAUAUCAGGAGGAACACCGGUGGCGAAGGCGGCUCUCUGGACGGUGACUGACGCUGAGACGCGAAAGCGUGGGGAGCAAACAGG